rnacentral:rRNA from 1 species
UUCGCCCUUAGAGUUUGAUCCUGGCUCAGGACGAACGCUGGCGGCACGCUUAACACAUGCAAGUCGAACGAGAGAAGAGAAGCUUGCUUUUCUGAUCUAGUGGCGGACGGGUGAGUAACACGUGAGCAAUCUGCCUUUCAGAGGGGGAUACCGAUUGGAAACGAUCGUUAAUACCGCAUAAUAUAAUUGAACCGCAUGAUUUGAUUAUCAAAGAUUUAUCGCUGAAAGAUGAGCUCGCGUCUGAUUAGCUAGUUGGUAAGGUAACGGCUUACCAAGGCGACGAUCAGUAGCCGGACUGAGAGGUUGAUCGGCCACAUUGGGACUGAGACACGGCCCAAACUCCUACGGGAGGCAGCAGUGGGGAAUAUUGCACAAUGGAGGAAACUCUGAUGCAGCGAUGCCGCGUGAGGGAAGAAGGUUUUAGGAUUGUAAACCUCUGUCUUCAGGGACGAAAAAAGACGGUACCUGAGGAGGAAGCUCCGGCUAACUACGUGCCAGCAGCCGCGGUAAUACGUAGGGAGCGAGCGUUGUCCGGAAUUACUGGGUGUAAAGGGAGCGUAGGCGGGAUCGCAAGUCAGAUGUGAAAACUAUGGGCUUAACCCAUAAACUGCAUUUGAAACUGUGGUUCUUGAGUGAAGUAGAGGUAAGCGGAAUUCCUAGUGUAGCGGUGAAAUGCGUAGAUAUUAGGAGGAACAUCAGUGGCGAAGGCGGCUUACUGGGCUUUAACUGACGCUGAGGCUCGAAAGCGUGGGGAGCAAACAGGAUUAGAUACCCUGGUAGUCCACGCCGUAAACGAUGAUUACUAGGUGUGGGGGGACUGACCCCUUCCGUGCCGCAGCAAACGCAAUAAGUAAUCCACCUGGGGAGUACGACCGCAAGGUUGAAACUCAAAGGAAUUGACGGGGGCCCGCACAAGCAGUGGAGUAUGUGGAUUAAUUCGAAGCAACGCGAAGAACCUUACCAGGUCUUGACAUCGUAUGCAUAGCUCAGAGAUGAGUGAAAUCUCUUCGGAGACAUAUAGACAGGUGGUGCAUGGUUGUCGUCAGCUCGUGUCGUGAGAUGUUGGGUUAAGUCCCGCAACGAGCGCAACCCUUACUGUUAGUUGCUACGCAAGAGCACUCUAGCAGGACUGCCGUUGACAAAACGGAGGAAGGUGGGGAUGACGUCAAAUCAUCAUGCCCCUUAUGACCUGGGCCUCACACGUACUACAAUGGCUGUUAACAGAGGGAUGCAAAGCCGCGAGGUGGAGCGAACCCCUAAAAGCAGUCUUAGUUCGGAUUGUAGGCUGCAACCCGCCUACAUGAAGUCGGAAUUGCUAGUAAUCGCAGAUCAGCAUGCUGCGGUGAAUACGUUCCCGGGCCUUGCACACACCGCCCGUCA